AGCAGCCCCCUCCUGUGUGUGUGAGUGCUGACCUCUGCUUCUGUCUGACCUCUGGAGGGGAGAAGGUAGCCUCUACGCUCGGUGCAGCUCAGAUAUGAAUCAAGGUGUUCUGUGCUGCAGCAUCCAUUCAAGCAAUGGUUGCCUCUCCUAAACUCCUGAGUUUUGUCCUUCAGUGUGUGGUCUGCCUCUCUUUCUCACUGUCCCUGUCUCUGUCUGUCUGUCUCUCUCUCUCCCUCUCUCUCUCUCUCUCUCUCCUCCUCCUUCUCUGCCUUCAGCUAUGGCGUGUCAUACCUUUUAACACGCAUCAACGUGACACAGUUCACUCUGCAGCAGGAUGGGAAGAGUUAGGGGCUGCUAAAUUCAGAAGGAAUUUCUACAUCUGAGGACUAACACUAUCACAGGGCCCCCGUUCUCUGCAUAAGAGAUUGGCUAUGUGAGAAGGCUGACGGCUGCUGCAUGAAGUGCAUUAUUACCUCGUGAUACUGUGACCCUCCUCUAUGCAUCUCUAACUAUCCAAAGCUGAUUCAGCUUUCAGCGACUGCUCUGGUGACACAACUGCUGUAACAGAAUCUCUGAUCUGCAUCGCCACUCUGGCCACAUUGUUAGGGGAGGUUUAAAGCUCAGCCCAGAAUGACUGUGCAGCAGACAGAGAAAGACAGAGGCGGAGAAUGAGCGACUGAAAGCAGAGGAUGGGACUUGAGAUCACGAGGGGCCAAGCUGGUUCUCUGCACGGCCUUUUGAAUUCUUUAUUUGUGGGGAAACCUCACUAUCUAACAGCGGCUUGCAAGUGAACUGUCAGCGAUGGCAACAGAUGUGUGCCAUGGCAUCGCCAAGUCUAAAAGUGUACUUACCCUGCAAUCAAGAAAUGAUCCUGGGACCAACAGUCCAAAAAAAAAGACUUUUACCAUCCUAAUCUAUGGAAUUUGCACUUUAACAUAGGUAAGAAAAUAAUAUUUUUUACUCUAAACUGCGUUAUGAAUAAUACGUUUGGACAAUUAAAAAGCUUCUUUAUUGAUCUCAGCAUGAAUUAAAAUUUGCAACAUGUCACGACUGCAGUAAUGUCCUUUAAUUAAAGCGUUGUCAACUGUAGCAAUUUCCCCUAUCAUUUCUCCCCCUCCUCCUCCUACCAAACUCUAAUGCUUACUAAUCCAUGGCAAAUAUGUGAAACAAACUGUGUUUCCCUGGUGUCGCUUCUUUAACAUUGGUGUUCAAAGCAAAAUGGAGGGGAGAAAAGCACUUUUAACUGCUGCUUUAAAUUUGUUGCAUGCAACCCAGAUCCUGGGAGCACGGAUACUGAAUCAGCAUUUUUACUUACAUGAAGGCAGCGCAUCGGGCAAUGACCUAUUUGGAGUACAUACUUCUUUAUAUGCCCAUAUGAACCUUACAAGCUAUGGAAUGUAAAGAAGUAUGUAUUUCUUUUAGGGGAUAUUCAUCGGAGAAGAGUGACCAUUCAAUAGAGGGGGGAAAAAAAAUCUUGUCUGACAGGGCUGCCUGAAUGUGGAGUCAAUUGAUGAGGUUGUUGUAGUGCAUGCAUUGUUCCGUCACUUUUCCUGUGUCAGCAGGUGGAAUUGCUCAUCAGGACAUUAAAUAUUCAAUAUGCUGACUGCGGCAGUGCUUUGAAAUGCAAGGCUGGAGGAGAGCUUUCUGUCCACAUUUGUUUUAACAAACCAAAAUCAAAAUGGAAUUCAUUUUAUUUAUUUUGUAAAGAAGUACUAUCAAGUGCAUUGCAUUUAGUCAGGCAGUCACACAAGACUUCAUGUUGCAGGAAGGCGUUCAUCUUCAGAUAAGUCUAGUAGAUUGCUUCCUUUCUUUUGGCAAAAUAAAGAAUGUAUUUAAAUAUGUUUCUUUCUCCCCAACAAAUGCCAGUGAUUAUUUUUUACAUUUUUCAAUUAUCAUCAUCAAAAUUGACAAAUGAAAAAUUUUCAGCUAAUUUUCAGUCAAAUAUUUUGCAAAUAGGAUCUUCUUUUUCAUUUCUAAAUUUCAAAGAUCUUUGUCAAUGUGUUUCUCAGAACGAAAUGCGAUAAGGGAACACAGACUUUAUAACAAUGCAACAUUUCAACCAUGAUUACAUUCGAAUGAACUUCAUUGGCUGUAAAGCGCUUUAGGUUGUAAUGAGGUUGAGACAGGUUCUACCAUAAUGCAAUUUUAUGAUUUGUUGGAAGCCACAUGCUUCAAAAGACUAAUCUCAAUUUGAUGCGCCUUAUAUCCAUAGGAAAAAGUUUUGCUAUCGGUUUUAGAAAUUUAAGAUUUAAACAACUAUGUAGAUUUUAACUAUCUUCCCUUUUAUUGGUGCCUUUGAGAGUAAACUGUAAACGAGUGGCCUGGAUCAUUUUUUAAUUUUAAAUUACAAUUUGCGAAUAGUGGAUUAUGCAUCAAUUAGACAUCGAACAAAAACUGUAAAUUGAAAUAUGGUAUGCUAUUCUUAUUAAAUUUGUGCUACCAUGCUACAAAUGAGAUAUUUUUUGUUAAUGUUUCACAUACGUUUUUAAUACAUUUUGCUUUCAUUAUGCAUGGCUAUGUGUGCAUCUUAGAAAUUAUGCCUAAUAAUAAAUCGUCCUCCAAUCGUAACGGUUUAGUCAGCAAGAGACUAUUUAGCUACAAAUGAACACUACUAAUAAUUGCUAAAGCAAGGUAAUAAGAUAUUAAAAUGCAUCAAAGGAAAAUAAUACUUUUGCGAUAUAAUGUUGAGGAACCGCAAUUGCGCUUUGAAGUUGAUGACUUUUGGGAAAGGUCAGGGGGUGUAAAAGUUGUUGAUUAGUCAGUCGUCAUGUGAUACAUGAUCCUCAGGAGAAUCCCACUGAAGUUAAGUCCUGCAGAGGAACUUUGGCAGCAACAGGUGUAAAGCAGGCUAGCUUGAGAACUUUCUGCAGAACCAAGGGAUGACCUUUGCUGAGUGAGACACAGAGGCAUUGUGGGUCAGAUUGAAUCCAACGUGUCAAGCUCAGUUGCAGAAAACAAGCCUGCAUUCUUGGCUAAGGGCUCAGUCCAUUUGACCACUGCAGAUUUGAAUAGCGUUUUAUGACCAUGUUGGGUGAUUAGCUUAAUAAAUGUUAUCUACCGCUCAAUGUCAGCUCCACUUAGAAUCUGUGCUCUUUUCAGUAACCAAGUAGAAAUUACAGCCACUGAGGUAUUUCUUUCUUAACUUUAUUCUCUAAAUUGCCAAUUAACACAGGAUUUUUAAUUCAGAUAUGGGCAAAUAUAUCCAAAAUAACCGCAACAGGUAUCUUGCCCUGUCCACUGCUUUUUCAUAUAUAACCACUAAAGUUUAAAGAGUUUUAUCUUUAGUUGAAAGCAUUAGUGAAAAUUAAAGCUCACCUUAAUUUGGAAUCGAAAGCAUGUUGGGAAUAAAUCACAACAAGGUGCCCUUUUAAAAUGUAUUUAAAAUAGAACAAGAGUCGCCUUUUCAAUGAAUCUUGCUUGGCAAAGUAACAAUCUGCAAAUUUUAGUAUUUACAAAAGAUAAAAUAGCUUACAAUACAAAUUUAAUAGCUCGACUAUCAAAGGCAGUAACCAUUUUAUUGGAUAAGUGUUUAAAACCCUAGACAUGGCUCCAGUAAAAGCAUUAGUGAAUGGCGCAUAAGCAAUCUCAUUUUAAACUGUCGUCCUGAAGUGAAAAAUGUUGUGUUGAGAAGUAAACCUCUAUUAAGCAUGAUUAGAUUGACCCAAAGGACAGAUACUUCAGCAGCAUGUAUCAGGGACCAAUCACUUCUCUCCCAACAGGAUGGAGAAUUGCAUAAUAUUUUUUGAUUUCAAUAGAAAGAGCGCAAAGGAAAUUAGUUACACAUGUUCAAAAUUUUAGGAUGUGAAGGUUUGGUGUAGAAUACCCGGGGUUAUCAGAGGUGUGCAUUUUACAUAUGGUAAAAGGUUAGUGAAAGAAAACGUUAGCUGCCGCCUUAGCAUAAAUUGGGAGUACAGUACCUGGGUCAACAAAUCAAAGAAAUCUGCAGAGUCAGAGUUUGGGCUGUGCACGUCCUAUUGCAGAAAGAUUAGCACUGCACUGCAGUAUCUCUUUAUGCGUCUGACACUGGCCUGGCUAUUUAAUCUUGCCCUAUUUCCACAGUUAUAUGUGGAUAAAAAGUAGGGAAGAGGGCAGCUGGUCCCUCAACGAUAUUCCACCACGCUAGUGUGAUUGCGUCACUCUCUUCUGAGCAGGGCCUUCUCUAUCAGUGCGAUUAACUUUUCCCUUCCCCCCCUCUGCACACACCCUCCCCUCAAUGCACUCCCCCCUCCCAAAAGGUGCAGAAGCCUGAACAUUUGCUGACAGCGAUGUAACUGAAGGAUUUAUUUUCUCUUUGGGGGUGGAAGCCUGAUUGACGUUCCAAACAGAUGCAGCGUUUUAUGAAGUGCUCAUCUGCCUGCGCAAGAACCUCACCAUGCCCUGAUAUGGGCAGCGCAUGGAAGUGCCCUGUUGUCUAAAUAAGCACCUCAGCAGUUCAAUGUGUCCAAGAACGCCAUGACAGCUGAUAUAAAUAGUCUUCAUUCUCAGCUGCCCUCUGUGCCGAAAUCACACUUAACUAACCCUUGUAAUGGAAGAGGGAGAUGCUUCUCGUGGUAACCAAAUGUAGUAAUGUACAGUGAUUGGUAGAUGAACAGCUGGGUAAGAUAAAUCUAAAAUAUUCCUGUUGUUGGCAACCAUCCUUCAAUUUAAAGCUGUCCGAAUGCUCUUUAUAUAUAUCUAUACUAUGCCUUCCCUUUGCAUUCCCUGUUAAUUAUCUAACCAAAUCAGCAAUAUCGGGAUUAUAAGCUCUAAAAUAACAGCUUACUUUCUAAUGAACAACUAUCGCUCGUGGCCUUAACUGAUUUAUACCACACAACUGGAAUUAUACAUAGAAUUACAAUGCCUUAACCCAGGGUGAAAUUGUACAUGUCUUGAACCUUUACAAAGUGGAAGUAACAAUGUUGUUUAAUUUACACUUUGUGAUCCUGCAAUAAGUCUUAUUUAGUGUGAUUAUAUGAUUAUUUUUUUUUAAAUCAUAUAAAUAAAACAAUUUAUUUUAGAGCCAUUAGUUUUAAUGUUAGAAUUAGAUGCUGGGUGGAAUUGUGGCUCAAGUGACCAUGCAACAAAAUAUUUAACUGCUGGAUUUUCCUCUUUGGGCAAAUUUCACUUCAUCCAAGUAGCUACUUUUUAUAUAUUCAUUUAAACAGUACAAGUCCUAUCCGAUGGUCAAAUGUUGACCUAAUAAGGAACUCUGAAUAUAUUCAGUAUUGCACAUUGGGCAUACUAGAGUAGAUUUGCAGGAUCAUUCCUCACUUAAGCCAUUUGAAGUCAAUAUUCUUUCUCAUUGAUUUGGUUCAAUCCUACAAGUGUUUUUUUUUCAAAUGAGAUUUUAAGUGAAGAAUUAAUAUUUUAUCAGAGCAUCUUCCUCAUUAAAUAAUUGAAUUUGGUGUGUCAAAGGUUUCUGGCUUUUAUUAACUUAAUAAUAUUUUCCAAUCCCAGUUUGCAUGAAUAAAACAAAUGCUGUUGCUGUUUCAAAGUUAAAGGAUUUAUUGUCUUAGAUAUGAGGCUCAUCACCAUAUUCAGAAAAUGAUGGCUUGUUUUAUACAUUUAAACUUAAUAUAACAAAUACUGAGAAUAUUAAUGAUAGGAAAGACCUCAAAAAACAACAAUGUUUGUAUCUGUAUUUUAAACAAAACUGAAAAGUUGAAUUCACCUUUGGCUUCAAGAAUUCAGUGAGGGUGAGUAAUAUUGGAUGGCCACUCAAUUAACAACAAACAUUCCACAUUGGUUAUUUUGAACUGAAAGAUUAAAUAUAUAUUUUUCAAUAAAUGCUAAAACCAAAAACUCCACAGAUCCAUUUCAUGUUUUACUAUUAACACAUUGUGUUUUCAUUUGCACUGGAAAUGUUUCUGAUGACUCCUAAUUGAUAAUAUAAUUAUGACUUCAAUAUAAAAAGUAUGUACAGUACAAAAUGGAUGAAUGCAGAAAACACUUUUUGCUCUGCUUUUUCUAUUAAAUUAAGUAAUUAGAAAUGAUGGCAAAAACUAAAAUCUUUUAAACGAAGAUCUUGUCUCCAAAUUGUUAGUAUUCAAUCCUAAAUGUAACAAAGCAUCUAACAACCAAAGCUUUAAAUAAUGAAUAAGAUAUGCCAUAAAACACAUGCAAACUUACAAAUAUAUUUUCCAUAACAGCUCAUCGAAACUUACAGAUAUCAAAUUAUUAAUUAAGGGAAAUAUAAUUUAGAAACACUUUCAUAUUUAUUUUAUUAAUAAUAGCAAUUAUGUAUUGUAUCUCAAAGAAUAAAAGGUGCAGUGGAUCAAAUGUUUCCCAUCCCCUUUUGUAAUUACAUAAAAUUAUAAAUUAGUAUAAAAUAAUUAUAAAAACAUGGCAAUAACAGAUAGUUUUUUUAUUAGCAAAAUUACUGGACUCUGCUCUAGUAUCAGAGAUUACUGCUAGUGUACAAUAUACUUUGAAGAUAAAUUCAAAUUUACAACCAGCCCGAAUGCAACCAAUGUGUAGGAAAGAACUGCUGAUGCUGGUUUAAAUUGCAGUUAGACACAAAAUGCUGGAGUAACUCAACGGAUCAGGCAGCAUCUCUGGAGAGAAGGAAUUAAUUACUUUUCGGGUCGAGACCCUUCUUCAGACCGAAAACAACCAAUGUUGACAUCAAAUUCUGAAUCUUAAUUGUUAUCUUAUUGACAUCUGUAAUGUGUAUUUAAUGUGCAUCUAAAAUAAUAAGGGAACCCAAAACUAUCAGAUGUCAAAAUACGCAGUAUGAUAGUUAGGAUAUAAAGAUGAAAGGAAGCUAACAAUUUGAAAGUCUAGAUAUGAGCAACGAUUUUAACAUCAAUUUAACUGUUGAAUAAGAACAAGAGGUGGAAGAGUAUGAUUUAACUCACUCAUCAUCAACACAAAGAUCUAUUUCUGAAACUUAUUACGUGAGACUCCAAUGUAAUUGUGGGAAGUGUAAACAGUUUAAUCAAAAUAUGAAUGGAUACCCAUGCAUGCACAGAAAAUACUAGUGAAAAAUAUAGAUGAAACCAAAAGGUUAAAACCAGCUCUUUGUUGAUCUUGUGCCAAUGUAAUUAUGAAAUCAAGAUGACAACUUUCCCGGCCCUGAUUAUUUAGCCGUGUGCUGACUAUCGAGGAGUGUGAUCCACUUUGAAAUUUCCAUCCUGCCCAUUUCAUUUGCUUCUAUUCAGCGUCUUUCGCUGGUGUAAAGCUUAAACAAGAACAGGACAGCACAGAGAUUUCUCACCCCUGCUGGGUUACAAGACAGAUGAUUCAAAGCACCACGUGAAAUAAUUCUACACUGACAGUCAUAUCUUUAUAUUUAUUUAUAGUCAGACUUGUAAUGUGGUUUUCAACAAAUGUACAGUUAACAUAAAGCAUCAAUUUCCAAAGCAAUCACAACAAAUUAACAAACAGUUAUUAUCACUAUAAAAUAUCACACUUAAAUAAAUAUUAUACUUCUCUGCCUUCACAUUUUGUUUAUUGGUUGAGAAUUUGUGGGCCACAAAUCAAAGAUACUAUUUAGUUAUUUUAAUGUUGUUAGUUGUCAUUAUAAUACUGUCAUUUUAAGUGAUUUUAAUUUGUUUUAUUUGGAUGAAAUGAAAAGAUAUAUAACCGACUAUUUAAUUCCUUGCAUCAACAGAUAAUUGUCGAAUGAGAGAUUAUGAUUAUUUUAUACUCACCUGAUUUGGGAAGAAUGAGAGCUGAUUUCAUUAAGGCUUCCAAGCUUCUGGGAUGGAUUGACAGGGCAGAAUACUGAGAAGCUAUUUACUCAGCCUGGACUGUAAACAUUAGCGGUGCUGUUUCCAGAUAAGUGAUCAUCUAUUUAGAAGUAAGUUAAGACAUUUUUUCACCAGCGAUAGUAGAUCGUUGUAACUCUCAACUGCAGAGGGACAUACUCAGUCACUGAAAGUGUCCAAGGCCACAAUCAAUAGCUGUUUGGGCACAAAAGUAAUCUGGGGUUUAUGGUGUAGGGGCUGGAAAGUGGAAUCAUGGUAUGGAAUCAGCCAUAUUAUAACUAACUACACAGUCUCCUUUUGUAUGAAUCAAGAUUAGAAUAUCUGUCUCAGAGAAUGCACAGAACGAAAAUCUAAUCAAAAUCAGAAGGGGGAUUCCCUACAAUAGUUACACUGAAUGAAUUAGUGAUGAAUAAAUUGUAACCUGGUAACUCCCCAGGGAAGCAAUCGCAGUAUAAAAGGGUGUAAUUCACAAAGUGACAAAAUUAGGAGAGAGGAAUUUUAUUGGGGAACAAUAACUCUCAAAUUUUGUGUUUGUUACUUUUUAUUUCUCAUUGAUAUUCUUGCUAAUGCAGAAUUUACCGAUUUUUUGCAGAUACAAUCUUAGAAAUCGGAAAGAAGCAUCUUCAUGAUGCAUCUUCUGAUGUUUAAUCCACUGUCCUCACAUGUUUCUUACAAUUGUAAAAAUAUCAUCUUCACUAUUCCCUAUUAGAAAUUACUCUUUAAUCUUCUACUGCCACCCUUUAAAAUUGUCCAUUCCAAAACAACACGCUGCAGAUCCAAAUAUUUCUCCAUAUUAUUCCUUGAGUCGUAGAGUCAUACAGAGUGGAAACAGGCCCUUUGGCCCAAUUUGCCCACACCGACCAACAUGUCUCAUCUACACUAGUACAACCUGCCUGCGAUUGGCCCAUAUCCCUCUAAACCAAACCUAUCCAUGUACCUGUCCAACUGCUUCUUAAACAUUUCAAUAGUACCUGCCUCAACUACCUCCUCUGGCAGCUUGUCCCAUACACCCACCACCCUUUGUGUAAAAAAGUUAGCCCUCAGUUUCUUAUUAAAUCUAUUUCCCCCUCACCUUAAAUCUAUGUCUUCUGGCUCUCGAUUCCCCAACUCUGGGCAAGAGACUACGUUUACCCAAUAAUUCCUCUGGUAAUUCUGUAGAUUUUCAAAAAUCCAAGUUGUCUAGUUACCAGUCGCCCUAUGAGUGAAAAGCCUUUACCCAAAUUUACCCUGCCCCAACUGCUGAUAACAUGGUUUGCAUUAAUUCUAGGAUUAAUUCUAACUUCUCUGGUCACCCCAUGCUCUAAGAUUAUUCCAUUAAUAGCUCAAAAUAUCCAUACAUCAUUUACUCAUGCUCCUAAUGGUGACGCCGGAACACCAAAAGACCUGAAUAUGGUCAAUGCUCUAUCUGUUAAACUUGCUCUUGGUUGUGAUAUAUUACACAAGGAAGUCAUUUACCUAUUUUAUAAAAAUCAGUUUCACUAUUACUUCUACUACAACAGAGGCCAGCAAUGGAGAUGUGAUAGGCCACAGAGCUUAGAACAAUACAGCACAAGACCAGGCCUAUCGGCCCACAAUGUCUGUGCCGAACAUGAUGCCAAGACCAUUUCUUAUCUACCUGCACAUAAUCCAUAUCCCUCUAUUCCCUGCAUAAACAUAUGCCUAUACAAAAGUCUCUUAAAUAUCAUAUCAGCUAUCAACCCUGGCAGCAAGUUCCAGGCACUCAUCACCCUCUGUGUAAAAAAGGUUACCUCACACAAUUCCUUUCAACUUUGCCCCCUCACCUUAAAGCUAAUCCCUUGCGUAAUAAUUUAUUCAUAGCAAAUUUUGUAAUAAUGUGGCUAUAGCUUCUAAAUUCACCUAGAGGUGUGUUCUAUGAAACCAGUAAGCCAACUCAUUAUGAAGCGUCAGCUGUAUAUUUAAUGUUCUUAAUUGAUUAAUAGCGCUAAAUGAUUGAUAGUUUUCAGAAAUCUGGGCAUUUUCCAAAUGUUCCUCUCCUCCUUUUGCAGAGAAUUUCACUUCCAAUUUGCACAUAAAUUACAUCUUAUCAAAUAAGAAAAGGCUGCUGACUCAUCCUUCAAGGGUCGCUAGAUACCUAAAAUGAAAGAAACUACCUUUAUCAGUCAAUGCUAAAUGUACAGAAAAUUAUUAAGUUUAAAACACCGUGAAAUGGCAGCAUUAUCAAAAGUGGAGAUAAAUUUUAAACCACGAAAAUUAUAACUCAAUUAUCUGUUGUUGCACUUAAAUAGAAACCUCUUUUACGUAAUGUUUUUAAACAUUGUAAUGCAUUGGAACUUCUUAACUUGGCAAUGGCUGUAUAUUUACCUGUAUUGUGCCUAUCUCUAAUUUUAAUCGAAGUUAAUCUGUUAAAAUAUACCUUAUUUUCAUGCAGUUAUUGUGGCAGGUACAGUUCAGUGGUUGAAAAAGGUAUCUUCUGUAUGAGAUUGAGAUCCACAACAGAAAAGUGAGCUCUCACUUGCUCAUAAUUCCACUUUCAUAUUCUUAAUCACGUACUCUUGGCCUUGGAAGUCACUGCAAUGCACCUGCUCUUUCAUCACCACUUUUGAAAUCUUUGCCCAGCAAUAUCUUCAGUAUCUCUUAUUCGUGAUUUUUUUGGCAUCUUGCCUUCCUCACUCUCGACUGAAUUAAAGAAGCAAGGAGUGCAGGUUUGCUCAAUAUUUAACGGGCUUAGUCAUCCAGAUGUACAUAAGGAAGAGAAGCAAGACUAGGCCAUACAGUUCUCAUUGAGUCUGCUCUGCCAUGGCUGACCCUGUGUGUCAAGUCCAUUUCCACAGAUGACUUCCUGUCUAUUAAUUUCAAUAUGUACACAUUUUUCAUCCAAUCGAUUUCUAAAGGUCACCAUUUAUCCUGCAUCAUGUUGAUAUUGUAGCUUGAUUGGAGAAAUACAAAGAAAUAAUGACACUGUCUCUUUUUUAAUUAUUCAAUUUAUUGCAAUUUGCCUGUCCUCAUUUUUGUACAUUUCUUCUACCUUCUGUUUGGAUGGAAGAGAGGUAAGACAGUGACAAUAUUCGGCAUGCGAUUGGAUAAUGUUGAUUGAAAAUUCGUCUUGCUACCUCUAAAUUUCUAGAUGUUUUAAUGCUGCUGGAUAUUUAUGAUGUAUAUGGAACAUUCUAACAUUCAUCAGAGGUGUUGAUGGGAUUUGCUAAAGGUGCUGAUAGUCCAAAUGGAUUUGCAGAAAGGAAACUUUUUUGCAUUCAACAAUAUAGAUUGGAACCCUCUAUUCUGACACCUAGCCAGACUGGACAAUGGAAACUGCCCCAAAUCAUCUUCCUCUGUGCAGGAGAAUUGUUCUUCGCACAUGUGGUGGAACAGUUGUGGGUAACAAGAGGUAAAAGAUUCUGAGAACUGUCUGUACUCCAAACUUUUCUCAAGUCAGAAUUACUGUUAACUGAGGCUGAUAAAAGUGCACUAAAAAGUUAAAUAACUACAGAUUAGUACUGUACAAAUAUUAGUCAAUUUUAGAUCUUUGAUAGAAUUGGUUAAUUAGUACAUGUUCAAAAACCUGCUGAACCUUGUGAGUUACCAGACCAAAGAAUGCCAGAGCAGAGAGUUUCAGCCUGUAUUCCUAAUCUUUUCUUUCAGCCCAUGGGUAGAAAUAGGAGAAUAAACACAGCCAAUAUUCAACUUUUUAGUUUAUAAUAACUGUGGUGGUUAAGCCUUUAGGUGGCAUGUAAAAACCUAUUAAAAAUAAGAUUGAGAGCAAUAAAAUACAAAUAGAAAUGACAGUAAUUGGCUUACAAUACCGGUAAAAGGUUGACCAGGCUAAAAUGUCAUCAGUACAAUUGAUGAGCUCUAUCAUUGUUUUAAGUGGCUCUGAAUUUGCAUGCAUGAACUGUGGUUAAUAAAUGAUAAUUUGAUUCUUUUCUGUUUUAAAUGUGAAUGCAUCUUUUUGUAUAAAUUGAUAAAUCAAUAUUUCAGAUAAAUAUUUGACAUUUCUUGAGCCAAAUGCUUUGCUAAAGCUGGUAAAAUGGAACCAAAUCAACUCUUCUAUGGAUUUGGUCCCCUUCAACCAGCUGUAGCUGUGCAUUGAUCGCCUCAGCAUGAGCAGGAGACGGAAAACUGGCCCGAGCUGAACCUGCCAACGAAAGCUGAAGAUAAACCGCUUUGAAGACAUUUUCAAUAGGGAAAUGAUGAUGCUUGACAUCUGCAAAUAUAUCAUGCACAUGUAAACUGUUAGGCUGCAUCCUAGUCAUCAAGCAGGUCUGCACAAAGCUAAGAACAUAUGGAAAGAGAAAUCUUUAUCCUGGCAUUUCCUUCUGAGGUUUUUUUUCCCCAAACAUGAGAAUCAUGAUGCAUCAAAGCAAUAUAUUUUUAUGUAGCUGGCUUGUAAUAUUAGUUAAUCGAUACAUGUACAAGUUGUGUGUUGAUUAUAUAAAUAAAUGGUUUAAUCUCUUC